rnacentral:lncRNA from 13 species
GCCAGGCUGCAUUCGACAUUUUGCAAGUUUGCACAUGUAAUUCUCAUGAUAACCCUGUCAGAUGGGGUUUUUCACAGGGAGGAAACUUAGGAUCAAAAAGGAAACUACAAGUCUUCAAAGCACUGUUCCAUCGACCCAUAACUCAGCCCAACCCUGCAACUUGAACAGGAAGAUCCCCUUGUCUGUCUCUUCCCUUCAGGUCUUCUUAAUGACAAAAGCCCAGCUCCUACGCUGCUGACUGCCCUACCCCCAACAUGCUGACCAGUCACAAGAAGGAAAACCAGUUAACAAGUGCUUGGAGAAGCUACAACAUACUUGGGCUUCCAGUCUUUAAAUGGACCAUUUUUAUCUGAACCUGGCUGUGAAGUCUUGGCUGAUAUAGGCUAGAGACAUGAAAGGAAGGUGAGUUAGGGCCUAAAAUGACAAAAUGAGGGCAGAGAAAAGUGUUGAAAAUGAAUGACUGCGGGAAGGAAAGAAAUCUUCUUCCGAGACACUCCCGUUUCUAUCUGACACCAGUGAGAUGGCGAACACGCUAACUUUGGAUCUAAGAAAGCUGAGUUCAAAUUCUGAGCCUACCCGCUCUGUAUCUAUGUGAUCUUCAACAAGCCAUUAACUCCUUCCAG